AACGAACGCUGGCGGCGCGCCUAAUACAUGCAAGUCGAACGAGAAGGUGUAGCAAUACACUUGUACAGUGGCGAACGGGUGAGGAAUGCAUGGGCAACCUACCCUCGAGUGGGGAACAACCAGCCGAAAGGUUGGCUAAUACCGCGUACGCUUCCGGGUCUCCGGAUCCGGAAGGAAAGUCACACCGUGGGUGUGACGCUCAAGGAUGGGCUCAUGUCCUAUCAGCUUGUGGUGAGGUAACGGCUCACCAAGGCAACGACGGGUAGCUGGUCUGAGAGGAUGGCCAGCCACACUGGGACUGAGACACGGCCCAGACUCCUACGGGAGGCAGCAGUGGGGAAUAUUGGACAAUGGGCGAAAGCCUGAUCCAGCGACGCCGCGUGUGUGAAGAAGGCCUGCGGGUUGUAAAGCACUUUCGA
rnacentral:rRNA from 1 species